rnacentral:lncRNA from 1 species
ACAGGUGUACAAUUUAGUGAUUCCACACAUCCAUACAACACCCAGUGCUCAUCACUACAAGUGCACUCCUUAAUCAUUAUCAUUUAUUUUAGCUGACAACCUCUGCAGUUUUUCCCUUUUAGAGACUAUCUGAAUGCUGUUGCAACUGCAAGCUAUAUUACAUAGUCUCAUAUUAAUCAUAUUAAUCCCUCAAACAGAAAAAAAGUACUCUUAUAUACUCCACCUAGAUUUAGUGAUCAUUACCAUUUUGCACCAUUUGCUUUAUCUCUAUAUAUUCAUACAUGCACGCACAUUUUUCUCAUGAAUCAUUUGAAAAUAAGUCACAGACAUUAUGUCAUUUCACCCUGAAAUGAUUUAACUUGUGUCUCCUAAAAACAUGCUUCUCUAUGAGCUGGGCACCAUGCAAGUUAUUUUAACUUGAUACAAUAAUAUUAUCUGUUAUUAUUCCAAUUUAAAUUUCUCUAAUUAUCUGGAGUAUCUUUUAUAGAUUUUUAAAAACCUAGCAUCCAGUCCAGAAUCAUACAUUAUAUUUGGUUCUCAUGCUUCUAGCUUAGCAAAAACAUCAGUAUUUGCUAUUUUUCCUCCAGAGGCUUUCAAGCGUGAUGAAAGCAAGAGCCCCCGUGGCUUAUCCUUCUUUGAUCAUUCAAGGAGGCUGAGUGAUACAGGAUAAAAGGCAAUGUGGUGUAAAGAGUCUAGACUUAGAGUUAUGUGUGUGAAUCCUAGCUCCAUCACUUCAUUCUGUGACUUAAGUAUUAUCUUUAAAUUCUCUGAGCCUCACUCUCCUCUCUAAAAAAUAGCCAUAUUACCUACAUUAAAGCAAUUGUAGAGAUGAAAUGAUAUCACAAAUGUAAAGUAACUGGAAUGUGGAUGGCACUCCGUAAAUAUUUCCUCUUUCCAUCCUUCCCUCAAUUUUUUGCUGAUAGUGAGUUUUUGCUAUUUUUUUUUCCAAUAUGCAGAGUGAGAUUGAGAGGAAGAGAAAAAAGCAAAUGUUUUGCCUACUGGCCUUAAAGACCUUUUUGUCUUGUAUCAUCUCCAAUGUGAUAACAUGCUUUAUAGUAUUUCAAGUAUAUUGAGGUUCAUUUUAAAUUUGAAGGGUAUAUACAAUAGGGUUGUAUUUUAAAAGUGUGGCACCUGGAAACCAGAAAAAAUAAAGUCUAGAAAAGGCAUCUUACGUGUAGAUGAAUGGUUUCUGCCCUUGAAUGUGACAUGGCAAAAUUCCAGAAAAAGCUGGAAGAGGGUUUCAGCCACAAUACGCUACCCUGCGAUCCUUCUGGGUUCCACUGGCAUUCUGAGUGCCAGCAGACAUGAUGAGGACCACAUUUCUUGGCAUUUGCUGGCAGUAAGUUUCUCUCCUCUCUCCACAGCUUUGUCAAACUGGGCCAUAGUUUUGGAAAUAGGGAAAUGAGAACUUCUGUCAUCUAAGUCAUUCUCUACCUCCUUGGCCUCUAGAACUUCUCCUUGAGGAGGAGGAGUGUGGAAUGGGACUGGGUAUUCUACAAUGGGAGAUUGAUGGUUAGGUCUUGUUCAAUUGACUAUGAAUUUCUGAAUAUCGUGGGAAUGCUAUGUCUUUCUUUUGACGACUCAGGGUAACAACAAUCAAUAUCAGUGGUUUCUCUAGGCUACAGUUUUAAUUAGUCCAAGCUACUGAACUGACACUUUUUUCUUUUUCAUUUCAAGACAUAUAUCUUGGAAAUAUUUUUUAAAUUAAUCUAUGGGGUCAGUUUGAUUUCUUAUCAUUUGCCCUAUAUUCUCAUGGUUCACAUUAUAAAUUUGGCUUGCUGAUUUACUAGUGUUUUUUUUUUUUAAUGCAAAAUUAGUUAUUGAGUCUAAGUCUGUCUGAGGAAACCUUCCUUUAAAUUGUUUUCUUGACUUUGAUUAAAUAAUCACCCUGUCUUUGUUAUUUAGUCUGCUAGGAGGCAGUACUGAGAUAGAACUUCAGCUUUAGGGACUACUGGAUCCUUUACUCAGUCUCAACCCACUCUAACCCUGUCGGGUUCAUUUUAGGAGAGAACAUCACUAUCAUAGGGAUCUUAAAGAUGCUGCUAAGGAAAGAAUGCUCUCUCUCCUUCCCUCUCUCCCUCCUCUCCACUGCCUUUUCUCCCUCCUUCCCUUCCAAUCUUUCCCUCUUUCUUUUUUGGUAUGCUUUAAACACAAAUAGAACUUCACAUCUGAAAAUUUAUAUUUACUCUCAGAUUUACUACUGUGAAAAUGCUAAAGAUCUUCAUCUUGGCUUUCUAUACCUUCAUGGGAAAAUGAUGCCUGUAAGGGACUAGGAAGAAACACUUACUUUUAGUAGAAAAUGUCACUAAGAGUUAAGAUCUAGGAAAAGAGAGACCGAUAAACGAGGUCCAUAUAGUUGGGGCACCUUGGAGUCAGACACGUGGUAAUUCUCAAACUUCUCACUCAGGGAGCUUAGCCCAGCCAUGGGGUGGCCAGUUCCCUGUGGUUAUGUUUAAAGUUAGAAUCGGGUACUGAUUAGAGGCAAACAUAGAGAAUAACUAGCAGUAUUUGGGGAUAUAAGCUGAGUUAGAUACUAACUGGUUGAUAAAUGUUGCUUUUUGUUAAAUUUCAAAACUUUAAACUUCUAUUAAGCUAAAUAUUAGGGUAAAAUGGAACAGACCUAUAAAAGUGAAAAAAGGUAACUAUGAGAAGAUGCAAUUAGCAAACCAAAUAAGACAACUUAGAAUGAAAGAAAUUAGUUGAAGAAAUGUUUGAGAAACAAAAAGCUAUAGUGCAAUUUGUACUUUCUGAAGAAAAAUAAAUAAAUCUAGACAAAGACCUUACAUCUUUCACAAAAAUUAACUCAAGAUGGAUUAUGGACUUAAAUGAAAAGUCUAAAACCAUGAAACUCCUGGAAGAUAAUAUGGAGGAAAAAUCCAGGAGGGCUCAAGUUUGGUGGUGACUUUUGAGAUACAACACUGAAAGCACAUUCCACGAAAGAAAAACGUAAUAAGUUGGAUGAUAUUAAAAUUAAAAACUUCUACUCUGAAAAAGACACUGGUAAGAAAUUACAAGAAAAGCUUUAUAUUGGGAGAAAAUAUUUGCAAACAUAUAUCUGAUAAUGAAGUGGCAUUCAAAGUUUACAAGGAGCUCUUAAAUCUUAACAAAAAGAAAAUAAGUAACCCAAUUAAAAAAUGGGCAAAUGAUGUGAGUAGAUACCUAACUUAAGAGGAUAUACAGAUGGCAAAGAAGCAUAUGAAUAGGUGUUCAGCAUCAUAUGUUCGUAGAGAAUUGCAAAUUAAAACAAUAGUGAGAUUCUGCUACAUACCUAUUAGACUUGACAACACCAAAUACUGGUGACGGAAUGGAGCACCAGAUACCAUCAUCCAUUGUUGGUGACGAUGGUAGAUGGUGUAGCACUCCUGAAGAUGGUUUGGCAGUUUCUUACAAAAUUGAGUAUAAGAUCCAGCUGUUGCAUUCCUUAGUAUUUGUCCAAAGGAGUUGAAAAGUUAUGUCCACACAGAAACCUGCUUAUGAAUGUUUAUGGCAGCUUGAUUCAUAAUUGCCAAAACUUGGAAGCAACCAAGAUGUCCUUCAUUAGGUGACUGGAUAAACAAACUGGCCCAGCUAGACAAUGUGCAUUCAUUUCCUGAAGAUGCUAUAACACAGUACAAGUGGGGUUGCUUCAACAAGAGUUGUCACACAGUUUUGAAGCUGGAAGUUUGAAAUCCAGAUGUUGGCAGGAUCAGUUCCUUCUGAGUGCUGUGAGGGAGAAUCUGUUCCAUGCCUCUCCCCUUGCUGGUGGUGUGCUGGUGAUCUUUUGUAUUCUUCGGCUUGUGAAAGCAUAAUUCCCGUCUUCACAUGGAAAUCUCCUUGUGCCUCUGUAUCCAAUUCCAGCCCUCCCUUUUUUUUUUAAAAAAGAAGUCAUCUUGUAGCAGGGACCACCCUAAUGAUCUCAUGUUAACUUGAUCAUCUGCAAAGACCCUAUUUCCACCUAAGGUCACAUUCACAGGACAUCAGAACUUCAAUAUGUGUGGGGAGAGGUACCAUUCAACUCAUAAUAUAGUGAAAUACUGUUAAAAUAUUCCAUUAUUCCAGCAAUAAAAAGAAAUGACAUAUUAAGCCACUAAAAGACAUGAAGGGAACUUAAAAUGUGUAUUUCCAAAUGAAAGAAACCAAUCUGAAAUAAAGCUAUGUACCAUAUAAUUCCAGCUACAUGACAUUCUUGAAAAGGCAAAAACAGGGAGAAAGUAAAAAGAUUGGUGGGUUGCCAGAGAUCGGGGGUGAUGAAAGGAUGAAUAAAUGGGGUACAGGUGAUUUUUAGGGCAGUGAAACUCUUCUGUAUGACAUUAUAAAGGCAAAUAUAUGUCAUCAUACAUUUGUCAAAAACCUAUAGAAUAUAGAACACAAAGAAUGAUCCCUAAUAUAAACUAUGGACUUUAGUUAAUAAUAUUAUAUCAACAUUGGCUCAUCCAUUCUAACACAUGUGCCACAACAAAAGCAAGAUGUUAAUAAUAGGAAAAACUAUGUGUGUGAUGAGGUACUGAGAUAUAUAUGAGAACUCUCUAUACUUUCUGUUCAAGUUUUCUGUAAGCCUAAAACUUCCCUAAAAUAAUAAGUUUUAUGAAUAUACUUUAAAAAUAUCCUGUGGUAGAGAGAUUCCAGAUAGCUCCAUUAGCUGGGGCAGUAAGGAAGGGUCUCUGGGAGCACCAUAAGGAGCAGACGGAAAUAGGAAUGCAGUAGAAGAAAAUGAGCAUGGACUGGAAUAGGGUUUUUUAAACAGAGUAUCAUUUGGAUUUUGUCCUAGGUAUGAUAGGGUUUAAUAGGAAAGCAUUAGGAUAUGAUCUGUGUUUCAAAAAUAUCACUCUGGGGUGCCCGGGUGACUCAGUUACUUAAGCACUGACUCUUCAUUUCUGCUGAGGUUGUGAUCUCAGGUUGUGAGAUUGAGCCCUGAGUCAGCUCUGCAUGGGGCAUGGAGCCUGCUUGAGAUUCUCUCCACUUCUCCUCACUCUCUCUAUAAAUGAAAUAAAUAAAUAAAUAAAUAAAUAAAUAAAUAAAUAAAUAAAUAAAUAAUAAAUAAAUAAUCACUCUGGCUGUUGGAUGUAAAGAAUAUAUUAUGUAUGGAAUGUAUGGAGGCAACACUGGAAGGAAGCAGGGAGACUGGUUAGGAGGAUACUGCAGUAGUCCAAGCAAGAAACGAUGAUGUUUUGGACUAAGGUUGAGCAGCAGAUAUGGAAAUAAGGGGAUCGAUUUGGGAUGUGUUUGAGAAGGGUAAUGGUAGAGAGGAUUUCUCCCUCUGUCAAUCAUCUGUGACACAGCCAUGAAUCUGGAAAUAUGUGGAAAUGUCAAAUUGGUUCUAGGCUGAAAUCCAUGCCCUUUGCCAUUCACAUCUCCUUCCAUGGAAUGAAAACUCAUCAGAUCAAAUAUUACUUUAAUAUAAAUGGCCUUGCAAAAUUGCACAUGAUGUUUGUUUUUCAUAAUGUUUGUUGUAUAGAAUUUGACCUGUAUCUAAGAUUCAUUUAAUACAGGCUUAAAGUGUUUUGCUUUCCUUUCACUUUCUCUGAAAAUGUUUAAUUACUGAAGUAAGAAAGUGUCUCGUUUAGCAAAGAGAGAAGUUAAUAUAACUGAGCAACUCUGUAUCUGUAGCAACUCUGCAACUAAAAACACUCCUGUUUCUGUUAUUUAGAUUGGUCAUACCAUAUCUGAAAUACAGGCCAACAAUAAUGGGAAGCUGUUGAAUAUGAUGAAAUCACAAGGGCAUCAGUCAUAACUUGGCAAGGGAAAAAGGGGAGUUUUUGUUAUUGUUGUAUAUUUUAAAAAGUAUUCUUAAAAUUGACUGAGAGUAACAAAUAUUUCAGUUUUUGCCUUGAUAUUUUAAAACGGAUGACAAAAAUUAGAAAGCAAAGGACAGCCAUAACUGACUUAGAAUAUGGCAAAUUAACAGAAGAAUUGAUAUCACUCAUUUUAAAGAAGACUGCAAAAAUAAAAUAUUCUUAAAGAAAUUUAGAAAAAUUACUACAGUCUUUGAAACAUUACAAAAAGCAGGGUUACUUUGUUUCCUGUGGGGAAAUCCAAAUGCACAUAGGAUAGUAGUCAAGUGAACAAGAAUGCCAUACUUCAAAUAAAUGUAAUAUUUUGAAUAAGAAAAUAGGAUGGUAUAUGUGAGUUGUAUGCUUUUUUUUUAAAAAAAAAGAUUUUUUAAAAAUUUAUUAGAAAGAUCAAGAGCACAAGCAGGGGAAGGGGCAGAGAAAGAGGGAGAAGCAGGCUCCCCGCUGAGCAGGGAGCAUGAUUGGGGGAACCCCGUGGGGAGAGCCUGCCACGCGGCUGGAUCCCAAGGCUCCAGGAUCAUGACCUGAGGCUGAAGGCAGAUGCUUAACCCACUGAACCACCCAGGCCCCCCUGAAUUGUAUACUUUUUGAUUACUUGUCAGUUCUUUCAUUUUAGAAGAGUAUACCUGAUUCUUAAUAAUUAAGCAUUAUUAGAAAUUACAUUUGCCUAAUGAAAAAGAGAUAGUAUCCUUGGAGCUAUUAUUCACAGCUUGUGACAUUAUUGAUUUUUCGAGUCUAUUCCAGGUGCUUACACUUAGGUCCUCAGUGCUUCCCUUUACGAAGAGUGAAAUAAUCUAGAUUGAGCUGCACUUUCUCCUUUUAAAAAUUCUACCUCGGGAUCCCUGGGUGGCGCAGCGGUUUGGCGCCUGCCUUUGGCCCAGGGCGCGAUCCUGGAGACCCAGGAUCAAAUCCCACGUCAGGCUCCUGGUGCAUGGAGUCUGCUUCUCCCUCUGCCUGUGUCUCUGCCUCUCUCUCUCUCUCUCUCUCUCUCUCUCUCUCUGUGACUAUCAUCAAUAAAAAAAAAAAAAAAAAAAAA